GACGUCUCCUAUCACUCCCCGGACGCCAGGGUGCAUGGUGAUGGAAAAGUUGUACACAUUGACGUUAGUGAAAGCAUCGAUCCUCACAAAACCACGAUGAAAUUUAAUCGUACUUUUGCCGGAGCACAUUUUGCUACUGCCCACAAUCUUCUACACGGCCCGACCACAACGACCAUUUCGACCACCUCACGAUCCCGAACUGUCACAUCAUCGACUACUGCGUCAACAAUCAUCGCAGUGCCAAACGGCACCACCCCAAUAAUCACCACAACCACCG